ACCCCUGAGAGGGGAAUUCCUGGGAAGUAGCCGAUCCAGAGGGAAUGAAAUGUGCCUUUAUGUUGACAUGCUGUUAUUCAUGUUGAUCUGAAGAUGUUACAAAUGCUGUUUUGUGCUGGUCCCCACACUGCUGUUUGCCUCUACAACACAUUGCCUCACAAUGUCAUGUAUUUUAAUUGUUUCUUCCCCUAACAGGUGCCUGACACUGCACUGCCUUGUGCUUUGGUGUCAGUAACUUUGAAAUUGUUUACGGAAAAGCUCGUGGCUCCCACUGAUUUCAUCUGCUCUUGCAAUUUCGCUAUGAGUCAUCCAAUAUGUUGUAAACAAGAAAGGCUCGCCAAUUUUCCACUCAAUGGAAAAGUCCUGUAUGCUUUGAUAGCAAUACACCAGAGACAGCAUAUAAUGGAAAUGUCGUGGAGCACCAGCUCAAAAGCAGAGGAAAAUGGCUGAAGAAUUAACUCUCAAAAGAUAUUUUUCUUUCCUCCUUUUCCUAUUUUCCUUUUUUCUUUUUAAUGUAUUCUUUCUCUCUUUUUCUUUCCCUUUAAUAAUAUGCAUAUAAAAAAAGGCUUUCAAUCUCAAAUAGGC
rnacentral:lncRNA from 1 species